GACGAACGCUGGCGGCGUGCCUAAUACAUGCAAGUAGAACGCUGAAGGAGGAGCUUGCUUCUCUGGAUGAGUUGCGAACGGGUGAGUAACGCGUAGGUAACCUGCCUGGUAGCGGGGGAUAACUAUUGGAAACGAUAGCUAAUACCGCAUAAGAGUAGAUGUCGCAUGACAUUUGCUUAAAAGGUGCAAUUGCAUCACUACCAGAUGGACCUGCGUUGUAUUAGCUAGUUGGUGAGGUAACGGCUCACCAAGGCAACGAUACAUAGCCGACCUGAGAGGGUGAUCGGCCACACUGGGACUGAGGCACGGCCCAGACUCCUACGGGAGGCAGCAGUAGGGAAUCUUCGGCAAUGGACGGAAGUCUGACCGAGCAACGCCGCGUGAGUGAAGAAGGUUUUCGGAUCGUAAAGCUCUGUUGUAAGAGAAGAACGAGUGUGAGAGUGGAAAGUUCACACUGUGACGGUACCUUACCAGAAAGGGACGGCUAACUACGUG
rnacentral:rRNA from 1 species